GCGGGAUGGAGCAGUCUGGUAGCUCGUCGGGCUCAUAACCCGAAGGUCGUCGGUUCAAAUCCGGCUCCCGC
rnacentral:tRNA from 2 species